ACUAAACAGUGUAAAUAAUACAUUAAUACUCAUUCGCUGUAUAAAUGUACGGUAGGUACGUAGGUACCGUCUGCGGGUCUUGUUAUUGUUUAUUUGUUGUGUAACGCCCGCGCAUGCGUGGCAUCGACUAAACUAUAUUCCAACCUGUGGAAUGUGAAUGCCUGCGUUUUUUUUUUUUUCAAAAUAGGUAGUCGUUUUUUUCGUAUGUACACAAAUUUAAUAAUACUUUAAUACCGGUCUUAACGUUCGUGUCGUUAUUACUUGUUUGAACUGUAGAGACAACGGCGAGACGUCACGGUGAUCCAAUUACGUCAGACUUUUUUUGGUUGAUUUGUGGUCGAAUUUUAAGUUUAAUCCGAUAAAUAUCUACUUAUGUCUCUUGCGGGGCGCGAAAAGCGGUUGUUGUUUACAACUGCAGUAGUCGUAGGAGCUUUACUUGGCCAUUCGAGCACUGGCCGCUCAGGCUCUGGCAGGGGGUCAAAUUUGUCAAUAGGGCCCAGAUAUAGUCAAACUUUAUUGUUGCCUGGAUCAAUGUGGUGGGGAAGGGUUGGGUCACAAACAAAGGAGAAUGUACAGGGUUGGCGUAAUCAAGACUCCAGUGUUGCAUUUGUCAGUGAUGUCGACAGUCGAAGUCAAUAUAAAGACAAACCUGAGGAAUCAGAUAAAUCUCAAACACCACCAGUGCACAAAGAUAUUAAAACGACGCGCAAGAAUUCUUUUCUCCAUUCAGCAUGGGUUAUCAUUGCAAUAUUGUUAACUAUUGUAUUGAGUGCUAUAGCCGUCUACUAUUGGAUACUGUUUUAUCCAAUUAUGUGCAAGAAAGAGCGCAAGUAUGAUGUUAUGCAAAUGUCUGCCAAACCUUAACAAUCAAGUAUCCAAUUCAACAAUUAAAUAAAAAAAAAAAAACAUUAAAAUCUCCAGGUGGUGGUGACUUAUUGACUCAAAUCUGAAAACAAUUAUCGUGAUAAUUUUAAUGCAUUUUUACUUUGUUUAAAUUUAUGACUGACUAAAUUGAUAAGAUCUUCAAAUGGUAACUACCUAUGAACAGUUCCUUUUUUAGUUAAUCCAAUGGACUAUACAUUACUGUUUAUAGAACAAUAUUUUUGAAAUUUGUAUUUAUUUCGAAAAGACUUAUUAUUGAUAAGUACAUUUUUUGUGUGCUUCAUGUUUAAUGUAAACAUAUCUAAUUUAAUAAUACCUAAAUUAUUACUUUAUUAUUCAUCUAAUUUUGUAUUACAUGGUGCAAACAUUUUCAACAAUUUAAUUAUUUUUUAUAUAUUUUUUAAACAUCAUUAUUGAUUUUUUUUUAAAUUGUAUUGUAUUUUAACAUUUAGAAAGUUCAUAAAAAUAAGAGCUGAAUAAAAACAAAUCAUUUAUUUAUUA